UUUAGAACGAGUUUAGCUAAGAGUUUAGUGUAUGAUCAUGAUUGAUAGCCUUUGAGUCUAAGAGAGUGUUUUGGUGUCAAGAACUGUCUACCUUUAUUAAUCAUGAGUGUCUACAAUAUAUAGUGAGGCUACAAUAGGUUAUGGUUUCGCAAAUGGUCACUAUUGUAAGGGAUAAGGAGUUGCUUUAAUUUAAACUCUCCAAUAAGCUUCUCCUUUGUGAUAAAGCACCUUUAGCCUUAUCCAGCUCUUGACAGCCUGGCUAAGCUCUUCCUUAUCCUCUCCAAACGGUCACACGAGCCAGUAGUUACCCCAAGUAACUUCUCCUUUCACUCUUAAGUUACUUGAUCAUGGUAACUUCAAUCUGGUCGAGGUGUGGGUGACUUUAACCGGUACGGCCUGUACGGUCAGUACGGAUGGUACGGCUUGGGUCGACUCCAACUCUCCCAUUUCCUUUCCUUUACUCUAUCUUAGCCUCAUUAUCUCAUGACUUCAUUUCAACAACUGGGAAACUGGAAUCACCUGAUUUGAAAGUGAGAUAACUUCUUCAUGCCAACUCCUAUGAGAUUUAUUCAACUUCCUGGUGAUUCUCCACCACUUUUUGUAUCCAAAUCAAGCUUCUAACAAAGAGAUUCAUCCUGGUUUGAUUGAAACGACGAAGAAACUAUGCUAUUCCCAAACGGGGAAACUGGACUGACCUGAUUUGAAAGUGGGAUAAUUUCUUCAUCCCAACUCCAAUGAGAUUUAUUCAACUUCCUGGUGAUUCUCCACCACUUUAUGUAUCCAAAUCAAGCUUCUAACAAAGUGAUUCAUCCUGGUUUGAUUGGAACGACGAAGAAGCUGUGCUAUUCCCAAACUGGGAAACUGGAAUCACCUGAUUUGAAAGUGGGAUAACUUCUUCAUGCCAACUCCUAUUGUUAACUUGAAGAGUAGAAGUGGAGAAGCAAAGGAUGAGAGUUGAGUUGAGAAUGGUGCAAAGAUAGGGCAAGAGCUUAAGAGAUUGCCUAUCAAGAGUUAUGAAGUGUCUUAAGAUAGCUAGAAGUCUCUUAUGGUGGUUCUAAGCAAGGGAAAAGUCUAGGAAAGACUUAGAAGAGUGCUGAGGAGCAAAUGGACGAGUGUGCAAAGAUAGGGCAAGGCCGGUACGGCCAUGUACGGACCCAGUACGGAUCUGUACUGAUGGUGGACGUACCAGAUGGAGCAUACUCGGCCAUUUGUGAGUCUUAGGCUUGGUGCAAACUUAGGGUAUCAGUGUACGGACAUGGCAUGAUCCGUACAUGCUCUAAUGUUUGUGAUCAACCUAACUUGAGUCUCAAGGAAGAAGAGACUCGUGUGGCUUCAUGUAUAAAGGAGCCAUGAGGAUAUUCAAAUCCAAGAAGGGCGCAGAUGUCUUUAGCCUUCUCUUGUUACCGUUUGGAGAUAAGACAGGCUGGCUGUGCAAGCUGUCCAUGAGCUGUGCUUUGACUAUGUAUCUAGACAGAUACAUGGCAAGAUGAAGAGAAGCCUUAAAGCAUCCAAUCACACGCUAAAGAGAGACCAGCCAAUAAGAAGAACUAUCAUGAAGAUAAAGACUAGCAUAACUCUCUCCAUCUCAACCAUCCAAACUCCAAGAAGAUUAUGAGCCAUUAGAUUUAGGUUUUAUGUUAUUGCAAAUGUAAAAGCCUAUAUAAAGCUCAUAAUGUCGAUUGUAAACUCUUAAGAGAGUAUGGGGGGGUUUCCCCAUCUCCUUCAUAAUUAUAAAAGUGUGUUCUUGAUCAGAUUCCCUUAAUCUCCCCUUUCUUAGUCUCUAAUCUCUUAAUCUCUCAAAGUCUCUUUGUUUCUGAUUCAAGUUCAUACUAGUUUCAUCAGACCUCGUAUCCAACUAGUUCAAGACCUUAUCUUUGCCUUUAAUGGCUUUUCAUACACAUACACAGCCAGAGCUCUCAAAUCUCACACCUAUGAGAUUUAUUCAACUUCCUGGUGAUUCUCCACCACUUUAUGUAUCCAAAUAAAGCUUCUUACAAAGAGAUUCAUCCUGGUUUGAUUGGAACGACGAAGAAGCUGUGCUAUUCCCAAACUGGGAAACUGGAAUCACCUGAUUUGAAAGUGGGAUAACUUCUUCAUCCAAGCUCCUAUGAGAUUUAUUCAACUUCCUGUUGAUUCUCCACCACUUUAUGUAUCCAAAUCAAGCUUCUUACAAAGUGAUUCAUCCUGGUUUGUUUGGAAUGACGACGAAGCCGUUCUAUUACCAAACUGGGAAACUGGAAUCAACUGAUUUGAAAGUGGGAUAACUUCUUCAUGCCAACUCCUAUGAGAUUUAUUCAACUUCCUGGUGAUUCUCCACCACUUUAUGUAUCCAAAUCAAGCUUCUUACAAAGAUCCUAUGAGAUUUAUUCAACUUCCUGGUGAUUCUUCACCACUAUAUGUAUCCAAAUGAAGCUUCUUACAAAGAAAUUCUUCCUGGUUUGAUUGGAACGACGAAGAAGCUGUGCUAUUCCCAAACUGGGAAACUGGAGUCACCUGAUUUGAAAGUGGGAUAACUUCUUCAUGCCAACUCCUAUGAGAUUUAUUCAACUUCCUGGUGAUUCUCCACCACUUUAUGUAUCCAAAUCAAGCUUCUUACAAAGAAAUUCAUCCUGGUUUGAUUGGAACGACGAAGAAGCUGUGCUAUUCCUAAACUGGGAAACUAGAAUCACCUGAUUUGAAAGUGGGCUAACUUCUUCAUGCCAGCUCCUAUGAGAUUUAUUCAACUUCCUGGUGAUUCUCCACCACUUUAUGUGUCCAAAUCAAGCUUCUUACUGUUGAGAUGAGCUGAGUAUAUGGAUAUGAAGAGAUAAGGAGUUGAAGAGAAGAGGAGAUGAAGUACUUAGGGAAGUUUGGGAGAGUAUGGUACGGCC
rnacentral:lncRNA from 1 species